rnacentral:lncRNA from 1 species
ACCAAUAUAAUAUCAAUCAAAACAUUACCAAUAUACAAUAAAUGGAAUCUUAAAUGCUUAUAUAUAAAUGAUAUAUGCGGGAUGUACGUGCUAUUCAGAGGAGGGCGAAUCUGAAUAAGAAUUCGAUCAUCCAGAUUAGUAGGGGCCUUGGGCACAUGAUUAGGCCCCCUACCCAAGCCGCGCUUUUUCUGCGCUGCUUCAGAAGCCAUCUGUAUAUUACAAAUUUCAAGAUGUUAUUAUGAGUCAUGUUUGAUUACAUGUAUAUAUGACAAUAAACAUGACAGUGAUAUAAACAUGUAUAUAUAUGAAUAUAAAAUGACAAUAAACAAAAGUUGCAUUUAAA